rnacentral:rRNA from 1 species
AGCGAACGCUGGCGGCAGGCCUAACACAUGCAAGUCGAACGAACCUUUCGGGGUUAGUGGCGGACGGGUGUGUAACACGUGGGAACGUGCCUUUAGGUUCGGAAUAACUCAGGGAAACUUGUGCUAAUACCGAAUGUGCCCUUCGGGGGAAAGAUUAAUCGCCUUUAGAGCGGCCCGCGUCUGAUUAGCUAGUUGGUUGAGGUAAUGGCUCACCAAGGCGACGAUCAGUAGCUGGUCUGAGAGGAUGAUCAGCCACACUGGGACUGAGACACGGCCCAAACUCCUACGGGAGGCAGCAGUGGGGAAUCUUGCGCAAUGGGCGAAAGCCUGACGCAGCCAUGCCGCGUGAAUGAUGAAGGUCUUAGGAUUGUAAAAUUCUUUCACCGGGGACGAUAAUGACGGUACCCGGAGAAGAAGCCCCGGCUAACUUCGUG